AACCCCGGUCAUCCUUUCAUUCCUCGCCAGAUUGUUUCAGCCAACUUGGUGGUAACUUUCGUGGAUCCUUUCAGUAUUUAACUUUCUACUACAAGUCCACUCGUGAUCUUCCUGCACCAGCUCCUCCGUCUAACCAUUUCUCUCCUGUGCUCCAGGAACCCUCGUGUGCAGUUCAAUUUCCAGAGUCAGCUCUCCUGUGCCUCUGUGUCUCUGCACUCUAAAAAAUAAUGUACUGGGUCUACUCAAAAAGGAACCACUGGGGCUCUCUACAAGAGAUCCAAAAAGACAGUUCCCCCACUCAGUGUCUCGCAACCCACUCAGUUCCCUCUUACAUCGCGCCGAACCCCUCCAUUCAUUCAUCGAUCCGCCACCCGAUCUUCAUUCCUCCGACCUCCAUCCAUCCCUCAUCCCUCGUACCUACCUCCACCCCUCAUCCCCUGAACCUACCUUUAUCCCUCAUCACUUCAUCCCUAAUCCCUUCACCCCUCAUCCCUCAGUAUACCACAUUGGUUCACAUUUGUUCAUUACGUGCAAUAAACUUUUCUUAUUUCAUA